UACGGGGGGUGCAAGCGUUGUUCGGAAUUACUGGGCGUAAAGGGCUCGUAGGCGGCCAACUAAGUCAGACGUGAAAUCCCUCAGCUUAACUGGGGAACUGCGUCUGAUACUGGAUGGCUCGAGUGCAGGAGAGGAACGCGGAAUUCCAGGUGUAGCGGUGAAAUGCGUAGAUAUCUGGAGGAACACCGGUGGCGAAGGCGGGUCUCUAGACAGUUCCUGACGCUGAGGCACGAAGGCCAGGGGAGCAAACGGG
rnacentral:rRNA from 1 species